GUCCAAAACAAUACUAACCGCAUAAAUAAUUUGCCUUUCAGCUAUAUACGCUCAGCAGGCAGAUGGCAGAAACACUCGACGAUACCAAAUCAAAGAGGAUUGCAAUUGUAACAGGAGGCAACAAAGGGAUAGGCUUUGAGAUAUGUAGACAGUUAGCUUCUAAAGGGAUUAUGGUGAUCUUAACAGCUAGAGAUGCAAAGAAGGGUAAUGAAGCUCUUGUAAAGCUAAAAGCUGAAGGACUUGUUGAUGUGGUAUUUCAUCCACUGGAUGUGGCAGAUCCAGCUACUGUUGCUACCUUAGCAGAGUAUAUGAAAACCCAGUUUGGAAAGCUUGAUAUAUUGGUAAACAAUGCAGGGAUAACCGGAGCUAUAAUCAAUCCAGAAGACAGGAAGAACUUGAAUCUAGGUGAUCUUGAUGUUAUUACAGGACCAAAAGCUAAGUCAAUAAAAAAAUUUGUGAAACAAACUUAUGAAACGGCAGAGAAUUGCCUAAAGACAAAUUACUAUGGAAUCAAGCAAGUUUCCCAAGCAUUAAUUCCAGUUCUUGAACAGUCCAAAUCUGCAAGAAUUAUCAAUGUCUCUUCCACCCUGGGGCAGUUAAAGGUAUGAAACUCAUUAACCAUAGAGUUGGUAGUUUUAUCAUUUCCAGUGUGUUAGUUGAGCACACUAGCCGAAGAAUAUACAACUAAUUUCCCCUAGUGCACGAAGGGGAUUUUUAAGCUCUAGCACCUUCAAAGAGCUAAAGCCAAAGACUAGAAAUUAACCUUGUUUUGUUUUGGAAAUUCAAUUGUUAAUUUGUUCUGUUACAGCUAAUUCCAAAUGAAACAGCCAGAAAAGAGCUUGGUGAUGUUGAUGGCCUCACAGAAGAGAAGAUUGACAAGGUUGUAGAAGAGUUCCUAGAGGAUGUUGAGCAGGACCUGGUGGAAACUAAAGGUUGGCCCACAAUUUUUUCUGCUUACAAGGUGUCCAAGGCAGCUGUUAACGCUUACACAAGGGUUUUGGCAAGCAAGUAUCCAAGAAUUGCCAUAAAUGCAGUUUGUCCUGGCUUCACUAAAACAGAUUUGAAUGGAAAUACUGGGGGCCAGCGUGUUGAAAAAGGUGCAGAAGGUCCUGUCAAGGUGGCUUUGGCACCAGAUGGUGG
rnacentral:misc_RNA from 1 species